UCCGGUUUGUCACCGGCAGUCUCCCUAGAGUGCCCUUGCGUAGCAACUAGGGACAAGGGUUGCGCUCGUUGCGGGACUUAACCCAACAUCUCACGACACGAGCUGACGACAGCCAUGCGGCACCUCGACUCCCGUCCCUUGCGGGAAAUCCCUGUUUCCAAGGACGUUCGUGAGCCGUUCGAGCCCAGGUAAGGUUCUUCGCGUUGCGUCGAAUUAAACCACAUGCUCCACCGCUUGUGCGGGCCCCCGUCAAUUCCUUUGAGUAUCAGCCUUGCGGCCGUACUCCCCAGGCGGGGUACUUAUUGCGUUAGCGACGGCACCGAAGGGGUCGCUCCCCCCGGCGCCUAGUACCCAUCGUUUACGGCGUGGACUAC
rnacentral:misc_RNA from 1 species